rnacentral:lncRNA from 1 species
CCACACCUCGUCACAGUGGUCAACUAUCAACAAUCAUCUCUAUCUCUCGCCUGGGAUCGGAUCAUGAGGGCGUCUAGCGUUGCAUUGGGCGUGUGGGCGUGCGUUCUGCUGAUGGGCGUGGGCGUGGAUCCUUCCCCCGCCCCGUGCUGCAGGGGGUCGGCACCCUGGCGGUAGGCGCUUUGGCUUUCACUGGGGGCGUUCUUGUCGCGAAGCACCAUUAUCGGCAUCAUCAUGGGGGCGGCUGUUCCUCCUGCGGCUGCGGCGGCUGCGGCGGCUCCUGCGGCUGGUGUGGCGGCGGCUACUACGGAAGGAGGCGGCGCAGGAGUCUGGUCGCAUUCCUGGACGACGCGGAAGUGCGGCUGGCGUAUAACACGAUCGCGGCCGAGGACAAGGACGAGUGCGGCCUCCGCUGGUGUGCGAGCUGGCGCAGAAGGACCCGCGGGAGCUCGCCCAGGACGAGAUUCAGAUCCUCCUGCCG